rnacentral:rRNA from 1 species
GACGAACGCUGGCGGCGUGCCUAAUACAUGCAAGUUGAGCGAUGAAGAUUGGUGCUUGCACCAAUUUGAAGAGCAGCGAACGGGUGAGUAACGCGUGGGGAAUCUGCCUUUGAGCGGGGGACAACAUUUGGAAACGAAUGCUAAUACCGCAUAAUAACUUUAAACAUAAGUUUUAAGUUUGAAAGAUGCAAUUGCAUCACUCAAAGAUGAUCCCGCGUUGUAUUAGCUAGUUGGUGAGGUAAAGGCUCACCAAGGCGAUGAUACAUAGCCGACCUGAGAGGGUGAUCGGCCACAUUGGGACUGAGACACGGCCCAAACUCCUACGGGAGGCAGCAGUAGGGAAUCUUCGGCAAUGGACGAAAGUCUGACCGUGCAACGCCGCGUGAGUGAAGAAGGUUUUCGGAUCGUAAAACUCUGUUGGUAGAGAAGAACGUUGGUGAGAGUGGAAAGCUCAUCAAGUGACGGUAACUACCCAGAAAGGGACGGCUAACUACGUG